ensembl:lncRNA
CCCCCAACUCACGCCUCCAGCAGGUUAUGGGGCGACGCUGGGGCUCUCUGUGGGGCUGCCCCACACCUCAGCCCCACAAGUAGGGCCACCAAUAGGACGUGGGCACGGGGAAAUGUGGGGCUGCCCAGGAUGACCGCUGCCCCAUAACUGAGGCCCCAAGCGGCUGCCCCACAGAUCCGCCCCACCGCUGCCCCAUAGCGCAGCCCCACAGCCGCCCCAUAGCGCAGGGACUCCAUGAUGGCGGCUGUGGGGCGGGCGACCCCAAGGGCGGGUGGAGGGCGAAGGGGGGCACUUAGGGGGGGUUGGGGGGCGGCUGUGGGGGGAGUGUGGGGCGGGGAAUGGGGGUUAUGGGGCUGAUAUGGGGGGAUAUGGGGCGGAUAUGGGGUAUAUGGGGGGCUAUGGGGCGGAUGUGGGGGCUAUGGGGCGGAUAUAGGGUUUAUGGGGGGCUAUGGGGCGGAUGUGGGGGCUAUGGGGCAGAUAUGGGGGCUAUGGGGCAGGGAAUGGGGGUUAUGGGGCGGAUAUGGGGGGAUAUGGGGCGGAUAUGGGGGUAUAUGGGGGGCUAUGGGGCGGAUAUGGGGGCUAUGGGGCAGGGAAUGAGGGUUAUGGGGCGGAUAUGGGGGCAUAUGGGGGCUAUGGGACAGAUAUGGGGGCUAUGGGGCAGAAAUUAGGGGUUAUGGGGUGGAUAUGGGGGGAUAUGGGGCAGGGAAUGGGGGUUAUGGGGCGGAUAUGGGGGGCUAUGGGGCGGAUAUGGGGUAUAUGGGG